rnacentral:rRNA from 2 species
UGGGGAAUAUUGGGCAAUGGGCGAAAGCCUGACCCAGCGACGCCGCGUGAAGGAAGAAGGCCUUCGGGUUGUAAACUUCAGUCAACAGGGAAGAAACAAAUGACGGUACCUGUGGAGGAAGCCACGGCUAACUACGUGCCAGCAGCCGCGGUAAUACGUAGGUGGCGAGCGUCAUCCGGAUUUACUGGGUGUAAAGGGUGUGUAGGCGGGAUUGCAAGUCAGAUGUGAAAAUUACGGGCUCAACUCGUAACCUGCAUUUGAAACUGCGAUUCUUGAGUAUCGGAGAGGUAAACGGAAUUCCCAGUGUAGCGGUGAAAUGCGUAGAUAUUGGGAGGAACACCAGUGGCGAAGGCGGUGUACUGGACGACAACUGACGCUGAGACACGAAAGCGUGGGGAGCAAACAGG